rnacentral:rRNA from 1 species
CCUGGUAAUUAUAGAGAUUAGGAACUACCUGAUUCCAUUCCGAACUCAGAAGUAAAACUAAUCUUCGCCGAUGAUAUUCCAGAUUUAUUCUGGGAGAAAGUAGGACAUCGCCAGGG